GGGUAAGUAGGUUGGUCGUGCCACCGGUACGUACUGGUCUCACUGAUUCCUCCUUCCUGAAGAACCGUAAUGCCAUUAAUUUGGCGUUGCGGGGAAACAGGACUGUUACUUUGAAAAAAUUAGAGUGUUUAAAGCAAGCUAACGCUUGAAUACAUUAACAUGGAAUAAUGAAAUAGGACGAUCGAUCCUAUUUUGUUGGUUUCUAGGAUUGACGUA
rnacentral:rRNA from 1 species